AGCCCCUAGCGCAGACGGCGGAGAGCAGAGAGGGAGCGCGCCUUGGCUCGCUGGCCUUGGCGGCGGCUCCUCAGGAGAGCUGGGGCGCCCACGAGAGGAUCCCUCACCCGGGUCUCUCCUCAGGGAUGACAUCAUCCGUCCACCUCCUUGUCUUCAAGGACCACCUCCUCUCCAUGCUGAGCUGCUGCCAAGGGGCCUGCUGCCCAUCUACACCUCACGAGGGCACUAGGAGCACGGUUUCCUGGAUCCCACCAACAUACAAAGCAGCCACUCACUGACCCCCAGGACCAGGAUGGCAAAGGAUGAAGAGGACCGGAACUGACCAGCCAGCUGUCCCUCUUACCUAAAGACUUAAACCAAUGCCCUAGUGAGGGGGCAUUGGGCAUUAAGCCCUGACCUUUGCUAUGCUCAUACUUUGACUCUAUGAGUACUUUCCUAUAAGUCUUUGCUUGUGUUCACCUGCUAGCAAACUGGAGUGUUUCCCUCCCCAAGGGGGUGUCAGUCUUUGUCGACUGACUCUGUCAUCACCCUUAUGAUGUCCUGAAUGGAAGGAUCCCUUUGGGAAAUUCUCAGGAGGGGGACCUGGGCCAAGGGCUUGGCCAGCAUCCUGCUGGCAACUCCAAGGCCCUGGGUGGGCUUCUGGAAUGAGCAUGCUACUGAAUCACCAAAGGCACGCCCGACCUCUCUGAAGAUCUUCCUAUCCUUUUCUGGGGGAAUGGGGUCGAUGAGAGCAACCUCCUAGGGUUGUUGUGAGAAUUAAAUGAGAUAAAAGAGGCCUCAGGCAGGAUCUGGCAUAGAGGAGGUGAUCAGCAAAUGUUUGUUGAAAAGGUUUGACAGGUCAGUCCCUUCCCACCCCUCUUGCUUGUCUUACUUGUCUUAUUUAUUCUCCAACAGCACUCCAGGCAGCCCUUGUCCACGGGCUCUCCUUGCAUCAGGUAGGGGCUUUGCAGAGACCAUCGACGGGCUGACUUGACCAAGCUUCUUGAAAGGCCUGUCUACACUUGCUGUCUUCCUUCCUCACCUCCAAUUUCCUCUUCAACCCACUGCUUCCUGACUCGCUCUACUCCGUGGAAGCACGCUCACAAAGGGCUAAUCUCGGGCCUUGUCGAAGGAAGAGGCUGCAGACGUUAAUGAGGUUAGCUGCUGGAUUCCAGUAUUCGUCGCAUAAGGAUCCUUCUUUGUCUGCGAAGGAAAAACACACUGAUUAUCAUAAUGAGGCACGUGGGCCGUGGCCCGGCUGGGUCGGCUGAAGAACUGCGGAUGGAAGCUGCGGAAGAGGCCCUGAUGGGGCCCACCAUCCCGGACCCAAGUCUUCUUCCUGGCGGGCCUCUCGUCUCCUUCCUGGUUUGGGCGGAAGCCAUCACCUGGAUGCCUACGUGGGAAGGGACCUCGAAUGUGGGACCCCAGCCCCUCUCCAGCUCGAAAUCCCUCCACAGCCACGGGGACACCCUGCACCUAUUCCCACGGGACAGGCUGGACCCAGAGACUCUGGACCCGGGGCCUCCCCUUGAGUAGAGACCCGCCCUCUGACUGAUGGACGCCGCUGACCUGGGGUCAGACCCGUGGGCUGGACCCCUGCCCACCCCGCAGGAACCCUGAGGCCUAGGGGAGCUGUUGAGCCUUCAGUGUCUGCAUGUGGGAAGUGGGCUCCUUCACCUACCUCACAGGGCUGUUGUGAGGGGCGCUGUGAUGCGGUUCCAAAGCACAGGGCUUGGCGCACCCCACUGUGCUCUCAAUAAAUGUGUUUCCUGUCUUAACAA
rnacentral:lncRNA from 1 species